GUGAGGAAUAUUGGUCAAUGGGCGAAAGCCUGAACCAGCCAUGUCGCGUGAAGGAUGAAGGUCCUAUGGAUUGUAAACUUCUUUUGCAGGAGGGUAAAGUGAGCUACGUGUAGUUCAUUGCAAGUACCCUGCGAAUAAGCAUCGGCUAACUCCGUGCCAGCAGCCGCGGUAAUACGGAGGAUGCGAGCGUUAUCCGGAUUUAUUGGGUUUAAAGGGUGCGUAGGCGGACUAAUUAGUCAGCGGUGAAAUUUUGCGGCUCAACCGUAAAACUGCCGUUGAAACUGUUAGUCUUGAGUGCGGUAGAGGUAUGCGGAAUGUGUGGUGUAGCGGUGAAAUGCUUAGAUAUCACACAGAACACCGAUUGCGUAGGCAGCUUACUGGAGCGCAACUGACGCUGAGGCACGAAAGCGUGGGGAUCGAACAGGAUUAGAAACCCCUGUAGUCC
rnacentral:rRNA from 1 species